rnacentral:rRNA from 1 species
CAGCCAUCAUUUAAAGAAAGCGUAAUAGCUCACUGGUCGAGUCGGCCUGCGCGGAAGAUGUAACGGGGCUAAACCAUGCACCGAAGCUGCGGCAGCGACACUAUGUGUUGUUGGGUAGGGGAGCGUUCUGUAAGCCUGUGAAGGUGUGCUGUGAGGCAUGCUGGAGGUAUCAGAAGUGCGAAUGCUGACAUAAGUAACGAUAAAG